GAUGAACGCUAGCGGCAGGCCUAACACAUGCAAGUCGAGGGAGAAGCCCUUUCGGGGGCAGAAACCGGCGCACGGGUGCGUAACGCGUAUGCAACCUACCUUUCACAGGGGGAUAGCCCGAAGAAAUUUGGAUUAAUACCCCAUAAUAUUAUUGGAUGGCAUCAUUUGAUAAUUAAAACUGCGGUGGUGAAAGAUGGGCAUGCGUCCUAUUAGCUAGUUGGAGUGGUAACGGCACCCCAAGGCUACGAUAGGUAGGGGUCCUGAGAGGGAGAUCCCCCACACUGGUACUGAGACAGGGACCAGAGUCCUACGGGAGGCAGCAGUGAGGAAUAUUGGGCAAUGGUCGGAAGACUGAACCAGCCAUGCCGCGUGCAGGAAGAAUGCCUUAUGGGUUGUAAACUGCUUUUAUAUGGGAAGAAUAAGGCGUACGUGUACGUUGAUGACGGUACCAUAUGAAUAAGCAUCGGCUAACUCCGUG
rnacentral:rRNA from 1 species